GAUCCUGGCUCAGGACGAACGCUGGCGGCGUGCCUAAUACAUGCAAGUAGAACGCACAGGAUGCACCGUAGUUUACUACACCGUAUUCUGUGAGUUGCGAACGGGUGAGUAACGCGUAGGUAACCUGCCUGGUAGCGGGGGAUAACUAUUGGAAACGAUAGCUAAUACCGCAUAAGAACAUUUACUGCAUGGUAGAUGUUUAAAAGGUGCAAAUGCAUCACUACCAGAUGGACCUGCGUUG
rnacentral:rRNA from 1 species